GGAAUUUUUGUGAUCCAAUACAUGAGGUGCUACAAUGGAGUUGAAGUAAAACAAUUCUCAAAUGUUGACUUGCAAGCAAUCCGAGAAAAAGUCUCAUGCCAGCUAGUGAUAAACAAAUUUAAUGAGCAACAGGUGCCAAUAGCACGAGAAUUCAUUUCGAAGCAUGCUCCACAUCUUCUUCAUUGAUUAAGUUAGCAAUUUAUUUCAAGGAGA